GGUUCCAUAGUGUAAUGGUUAGCAGGUCUGCUUUACACAUAGAAGGUCCGGGUUCACACCCCAGUGGAGCCA
rnacentral:tRNA from 1 species